rnacentral:rRNA from 1 species
UACGAAGGGGGCUAGCGUUGCUCGGAAUCACUGGGCGUAAAGGGUGCGUAGGCGGGUCUUUAAGUCAGGGGUGAAAUCCUGGAGCUCAACUCCAGAACUGCCUUUGAUACUGAAGAUCUUGAGUUCGGGAGAGGUGAGUGGAACUGCGAGUGUAGAGGUGCAAUUCGUAGAUAUUCGCAAGAACACCAGUGGCGAAGGCGGCUCACUGGCCCGAUACUGACGCUGAGGCACGAAAGCGUGGGGAGCAAACAGG